UUGGUACCUGCCCAACCAGAUACGAACUGAGGGCCAUGAAAGCUGACUCACCUUCGCAGCAGAAGGUAUCUCCGCCCUAUGAAGGCCUUGAUGGGGAGCAACUCAGGCCUUGAAGGUAAAUGUCCUGUCCCACAGGUGCCAUGAGCUCCGGGAAGUAGAGACGUGAUCAGACUCCCCUGCUACAGCCUUGUACUUGUCACCGAAGGGAGAUGUGCAGGUGCAAGCCCGACCAAGGGACACCUCCGUGGCCAUGACAGCUUUUCUUCUUAAAAGAAAAAACCGGACCGUGGGUUCAGAAAUCCAAAUCCAUUUGUUUAUACUCGAUUCAUACCA
rnacentral:lncRNA from 1 species